GAUGAACGCUGGCGGCGUGCUUAAUACAUGCAAGUCGAACGGACAGGCCCUGCUUUUGUUGGGUGCUCGUGUGGCGAACGGGUGAGUAUCACGUGAGUAACAUGUCCUUGACUUUGGGAUAACUUCAGGGAACUGGGGCUCUUAUCGGAUAGGAGCUACUGCUGCAUGGUGUUGGUUGGAAAGUUUCGGCGGUUGGGGAUCGUCUCGCGGCUUCUCCGCUUGUUGGUGAGGUAGUGGCUUACCAAGGCUUUGACGGGUAGCCGGCAUGAGAGGGUGACCAGCCACAUGGGGACUGAGAUACGGCCCAGACGGGUACGGGAGGCAGCAGGGGAGAAUAUUGCGCAAUAGGCGGAAGCCUGAGGCAGCAACGCCGCGUGCGGGAUGACGGCCUACGGGGUGUAAACCGCUGUCGCCUGAGACGAAGCGGGAGUGACGGUAAUGGGUAAAAAAGCACCGGCUAACUACGUG
rnacentral:rRNA from 1 species